UGAGGAAUAUUGGUCAAUGGACGCAAGUCUGAACCAGCCACGUCGCGUGAAGGAUGACGGCCCUACGGGUUGUAAACUUCUUUUAUACAGGAAUAAAGUGAGUCACGUGUGACUUUUUGCAUGUACUGUAUGAAUAAGGAUCGGCUAACUCCGUGCCAGCAGCCGCGGUAAUACGGAGGAUCCAAGCGUUAUCCGGAUUUAUUGGGUUUAAAGGGUGCGCAGGCGGAAGAUUAAGUCGGCGGUGAAAUUUUGCAGCUCAACUGUAAAAGUGCAAUCGAUACUGGUUUUCUGGAGUGUGGAUGAAGUAGGCGGAAUUUGUGGUGUAGCGGUGAAAUGCAUAGAUAUCACACAGAAUAUCGAUUGCGAAGGCAGCUCACAAAGCCAAGAUUGACGCUGAGGCACGAAAGUGUGGGGAUCAAACAGG
rnacentral:rRNA from 1 species